rnacentral:rRNA from 1 species
AGAGUUUGAUCAUGGCUCAGGAUGAACGCUAGCUACAGGCUUAACACAUGCAAGUCAAGGGGAAACGACAUCGAAAGCUUGCUUUUGAUGGGCGUCGACCGGCGCACAGGUGAGUAACGCGUAUCCAACCUGCCCAUCACUUGGGGAUAACCUUGCGAAAGUAAGACUAAUACCCAAUGAUAUCUCUAGAAGGCAUCUGAAAGAGAUUAAAGAUUUAUCGGUGAUGGAUGGGGAUGCGUCUGAUUAGCUUGUUGGCGGGGUAACGGCCACAAGCAACGAUCAGUAGGGGUUCUGGAGAGGAAGGUCCCCCANAUUGGAACUGAGACACGGUCCAAACUCCGUACGGGAGGCA